UUCACUCCCACCAACAAGGAGCUAAAUUCAGCCCUGGUCGUGCGCACGCUGCUGUUCCCCUUCAGCCAAGCGUCCUGCGUGGACCCGGGCUCACCACCGCCUCCAGAGUUAAUUAUGGCCCCAGCUUGCGUGGAGGCAUAUCAUUAGCGAGUUGAUAAACAGUUACAGUUCACAUCGGGUGACCCAAGUCUCAACCCUUCAUCUUGUAAGAUGAUAUCGGUUGCAUCUUCAAACGUGGAAAACCUUUCUGCGACAGAAACCAGUCUACCAAACAAUGAUGUGUUCAAGCGGUUAGCCAACCUGAGGUAGUGUGAUAAGAGGAAAAGAGAAGCAUGUGACCAGAGGAACCAAUGGGGUCAACGUGAUUCAGUUACCAUCUGAA